UACGUAGGGGGCUAGCGUUGUCCGGAAUCAUUGGGCGUAAAGAGCGUGUAGGCGGUCCGGUAAGUCCGCUGUGAAGGUCGGGGGCUCAACCCUCGAAUGCCGGUGGAUACUGUCGGGCUAGAGUGCGGAAGAGGCGAGUGGAAUUCCUGGUGUAGCGGUGAAAUGCGCAGAUAUCAGGAGGAACACCUAUUGCGAAGGCAGCUCGCUGGGACGUAACUGACGCUGAGACGCGAAAGCGUGGGGAGCAAACAGG
rnacentral:rRNA from 1 species